GAGCACGUAGGUGGGUUUGUAAGUCAGGUGUGAAAGCCUUCUGUUCAAAGGAAGAACGGCAUCUGAAACUGCAGAUCUUGAGUGUAGGAGGGGAGAGUGGAACUUCUGGUGGAGCGGUGAAAUGCGUAGAUAUCAGAAGGAACGUCGGCGGCGAAAGCGACUCUCUGGCCUAUUACUGACACUGAGUGUGCGAAAGUUAGGGGAGCAAACGGGAUUAGAUACCCCGGUAGUCCUAACCGUAAACGAUGGGCACUAAGUAGAGGG
rnacentral:rRNA from 1 species